GACGAACGCUGGCGGCGUGCUUAACACAUGCAAGUCGAACGGAAAGGCCCUGCUUUUGUGGGGUGCUCGAGUGGCGAACGGGUGAGUAACACGUGAGUAACCUGCCCUUGACUUUGGGAUAACUUCAGGAAACUGGGGCUAAUACCGGAUAGGAGCUCCUGCUGCAUGGUGGGGGUUGGACAGUUUCGGCGGUUGGGGAUGGACUCGCGGCUUAUCAGCUUGUUGGUGGGGUAGUGGCUUACCAAGGCUUUGACGGGUAGCCGGCCUGAGAGGGUGACCGGCGGCAUUGGGAAUGAGAUACGGCCCAGACUGCUACGGGAGGCAGCAGUGGAGAAUAUUGUGCAAUGGGCGGAAGCCUGAUGCAGCAGCGCCGCGUGCGGGAUGACGGCGUUCGGGUUGUAAACCGCUUUCGCCUGUGACGAAGCGUGAGUGACGGUAAUGGGUAAAGAAGCACCGGCUAACUACGUG
rnacentral:rRNA from 1 species